UCCAUGCAUGUGAAUCUCUAAAUUGAAGAAACAUGGCAACCCAUGAAUGUGAAGCUAUGUUAUACCAAUAUUGGCAAACAUUGGAUGAUGCAAUAAUUAGUUUGAAUUUCAUAAGUAAAAUACAAUAUUCAUGCAAAACUCCGUUAGGAUGUUAAGUUUACAUAUUCUGUUAAAUGCUAGGUUUGAAUUUCUUGUAUUUUAUUCAUUAAUUUUUAUGACGCCGGUGUGACAAGACCUGAAGGAAAGAAGAAAAUUAAAAGGAAGAUUAAAAUUAAAACUAAAGUGGUAUUCUUUAUUGUGGUGGUGCGGGAUUAUAAAAUAUAUAUAUUGUGUUAUCGUUUUCUGUGCGCCAUUACUGAAAUAAGAGUGUAGAAGAUUGAGGCAGGUUAUACUGCUUACUGUUGCAGGACGAGAUUGGUGGUUGCUGCUGUUGAAGCGAGAAGUGUGCAGAUUAAGUAUCGGUAGAAUUAAGAAUAUGUAUACCAAUUCGCAUGCAUUCUUACAAACUAGCAUGUUUAACCACAGUUUUCCAUCAUGGGACUCGAAAAUAGCAGAAUUGAGAAUUUUCGGUGUUAAAUGAGAAAAAUAAUGAUAUUUCCGAUCUCCGAGUAAGCUUACAGAUUCGCUUAUUUACUAUGCAUAUAAUUUAUGGACGAUCGGUAUACAUGUAAAUUAAUUACUACGCUAAGUUCUCGCGAGCAACUGCCUGAGUUUUCUCUAUUUUGUCUUCUUACAUAAGAAUGGCUGACUUCGAAAACGAACUACUGUAAAGUUUUGAAGUUCUUUUACUGCAGUAUUUAUACAUCAUCUGUAUGCAACGUUAAAUAACAUCAUAUUACUACGCAUUGUGUAUUUUGACGUUUUGCAACACUUUUACUCCAAAGUUUAUAUUCGCAAAAAGSUGUUUUAGAAAUUUUAAUUCAACGAGCGCAAAAAUAUCAAAAUGGAUCAAAAUAUAGCCAAGAGUGCAAUUGUAAACGUUUUUUGCGUUUCUCAGAAAAAAAAGCACAAACAACAUUCAAAUUUUUUGUAAAAUAUUUAAAUAAAAACAUAAAAGAGUGUACAUUUUAAAUAAUUUCAAAUAUAAUAAUUUUUUAUCAUUAUAUACAUUAGAAGAAAGUUGCCUAAAAAUUCGGGAUUCUGGAAAACUAUUAUCGAAAUGCCAAAUGAUGAAACCUUCCAGGUGUAAGCUUCAAACUAUGUUAAAGCCAUUAACCUCCAACUGAUCGGCCGUGCUUAUCGUUAGAAAGAUUUAUGUACAUAACUCAAUGGAAAUAUAGCAACCAAAACAGUUCUCGUGAAUUAAGUGAUCAUUUUCACUUAAGUAUUGGUACUGCAUAUUACAACUUUAUUCGUAGAAUAAAAGCAAUUAGUCGAUUAAAAGCAGAGUUAAUAAAAUUUCCAGCAAUCGACCAAAGC